UUGAAGAAAGUUAGAAAGACAACAAAGAGAAGAAAAAUAAGUUUGAAAAGAAGAGCAACUGGGCAUGGUGGCUCACACCAAAGAUCUGGGCUACUUGGCAGAUCAGAGAUCGCGAGGAUAAUGUUAAAGCUGGCCUGAGCAAAAAGUUUAAGUGAAUUGUAUCUCAACCAAUAAAGGCUGGCCAUGGUGACAUAUGAAGAUCAUCCUAACUAUGUGGGAAGAAUAAAUAGGAGGCUCAUGGUACAAAUCCAACCUAAGCAUAGAAAGCUUAUCUGAAAAAUAACUAAAGUGAAAAGGACAGGGCGUAACUCAAGUAGUAAUGUCUGCCUAGCAAGCAAGCACAAGGCCAUGAUUUCAUCUUCCAGUUCUGCCAAGACAAAAGAAAUGAAGAAAAGCAAGAUCCCUAUUCCUUCUCUGGACAUAGACAUGACAUAACAACCAAACAAAAGAGACAUCCAGGCUGGAGCCAACCAAGUUUUAUUGCCAUAGACAAGAACAGCAUAAACUUUUCCAACAGAUAGAAUGUGAGGUUUUCUUCCUCAUCGAUCAUAAUCCACAGUAAACAAAUUCAAUACAUAGUACACAAAAAGGUUUUCAUUAAGCUGUUUCUAUAGUGAGAAGAAAUACAAUGACAAGAUUGUAAAACUAAAGGAUGUCCUCAGAUAUACCGGGCUGCACCAGUUAAAGGCAGCACUGGAAGCUUAUAUGCAAGAUACCUUUUUAGAAGGGGACCCUGAGGGCUUCUAGCCACAGCCAUCUCAGAGAGCCCCUCAUCCACACAGUACCAAUAAAGUCAAGUCAGUAAGGUGACUGAGAAGCCACAUUCUGGGCUGCAACAUACUAUCUGAUAAUUAAGUGAUUAAUUUUUUAGAUGCCAUCAUCUCGGAGUCUCGUUGCUACUGACUAAGCAGAAAUCAUAAUAAUAAAACUAGCUACUGUUGUUUGAAUUCCACCAGCACACACUCACCUAGAAGUCACUCAGGAGACUCCUUGUCACACUAAUAACAGGAUGGCAGUGCUGUUUCUUAGUCUGUAUACACACGAGGUUCUUCAGGAAGUAAGCUCAAUGGAUUCUGUCUUUAAUACCCUCCCAGGUCAAAUGCCUAGCAAUCAAUUUACUCUCAUGAAACCUGUCCCAUCAUUUUCUGUCUACUGAUUGCUUUGUCUGAAAGUAUAAAUAAAUGCAGUCAUUUCCAUGACAGGCUAACUUGAAACAAAGUUUUCAGCCCCACCUUUCUUCUUGCAAUGGCCAUCCAGUAUUCUCCAAAAUGUCUGAGAGGUGGAGUAAUGACAAAGAGAUGUAAGGCUCAUCUCCCCUCUCAACUGCCAUGGAAGCCCCAAAGACACCAAUAUUAUCAUCACUGCUUCUCAUUCCUCUUUAAUAGGGUCUGUACAUGUUAUGACCUCACACACUAUCUAUACUGAGAUGAUUCUUCAUACUCUACCAGGCUAGAGCUCUAUCCUGAUCUCUAGACUCCCAUUUAAAUGUUUAACAUUCUACAAACUUACCAAACCCACAUCCAAACUCUCUGCUUCCUUCCCAUCACCCACAAUUGUCCCUAUCUCAACUAAAUGUAGCACCCAUCCUGCCAAAUACACAAUCUAAACCUUAGACUAAUCUGAUAAACUAAACCUUAGACUCAUCCCCUAUAUCCAAUGUCCAACUAUUUAGAAAUCCUUCCAUGUAUGACCAUGUCAUCAUAUAGCCUACAUCUAAGUAUCUAACCCAAUUUUUAGUCACACAUAAGUAGAAAAACCAGAAAGAAGGCUACUGCAAUCAUGCCAUGCAUGGAGGUUUGGUCUUCCCAUUUUCAUUCCUUAUUUCCCUUCAAUCUGCUCCCCACACAGCACUAAGAAUUCUAUUAAAACUUAGAACCCAUCACUCUUCCACUCAAAUCUAUCCUCUCACUUUUCCUCUUCAUCCCAUCUUGUCUCUCCCAUGUUCCUGUUAGCCACUCUGGAUUCCUGGAGCUCCAAGUUUUAAAGUAUUCACUACUCUUCCUGUGGCGCUUUCUUCCCUACCAUAAUGACACUAACCACUCCCUCCUUCCUCUGGAGUAUGAGAUAAAAGAUGGUAGUUUUUUUUCUGAUCUGUUCUGCCUACUGUUCUAUCCCCAGGGCCUAGAAAAGUGGUUAGAACAAAACAUUUGCUUAAUAAACAGCUGAAUGGGUGAAAUUAGGUUCUCAGAGGCUUUUCUGUGUUGCACUUGAGAGUCACUUUUAGACACCACAAAGUGUGACUACCUACAAAUAUCUACAAAUUCUUCACUUAAAUGUAAGUACUAGAGGUUUUGCCCCACAUCAGAACAGUUUUAUUUCCUUGCCUUUUGAAUUUUAUCAUGCCUACCUGGAUGAAAAGACAAAACACAGUGAUGAUGAGAUACAUGGUCAACAGAGAGUUUGUUAGAAAUGCAUGUAUUAUGUAUUUAAAAGUUGAAAUUGUCCACGACAGUAGACCCUGUAUAUUAAGCCUAUUCUAAUUUCAACCAAAUGGACAUCCAAAUUCAAAAUUUUACUCAGGCACAGCUGUUUGACAAGUACAGCAGGAGCCUGUCAAGUCACUUGGCAGCGUCAUUCCUUUGGAACAUAAUAGAUUUUUUUGGCAUCUCCUAUUAUUCACUGAUGGUAAUUAGCGAACCAAUCUUUGGAGGAAAUACACAAUCGGGCAACUAAAAAGGCCUUUUAUGGAACUCGCAGAAAAUAAAUCAUUGACACUACAAAUGGUCAAUAUGUACUCUCAGAUUUGAACUAAAUUGCUCAUUGAUUCACCAAAAUCUAUUUUCCAGACCUUGUCAUCUAGGUAAAUUCUUUUUUUUUUUUGUUUUAUGAAGUCCUGAAUUCAAGUAAAGUGAUGGUGACACUUUCCUUGAUUUUGAUUUAGUACCUCAAUAGUGUCAGCAAUUAUAGUGAUUUCUCCAUUAUUUCCUUAGAUUAUCCAGCUCCUCCCCUGACUGGCUCCAUCAUAAAGGCCCCAUUGCCAUGGGCCCUUUUUGUGCCACAGGCACGAAACCACAUUCACAAUCUAAACAUGGAAUUCCAGAAAUACACAAUGGAAGAGGAACAGGCUGACCCAGACAGCCCAAGAAGCUGCUGUCCUCACAAGCAGUGGCUCAGUGCACUGGGCCAUUGAGGGAAAUGCUGGCUACAGAGGGGCAAACCCAGGAACAACAUCAACAAAUUCAAUUCCUGCCUUAGGAACACUGGCACAUACCACCUCAAUGUGGGAUUCCACCUGGGGCUUUCAGAAACAAACAGUGCCUGUCUUGAUGUCAUACUUUUACAACAACUAGGAUCCUUACCCAAACACCUUCAACAAGUUUCGACAAGUGCAGUUCAAUCAUUUGAGAUGGGCCAAAAGGUCAGGGCCCUGAAACUUUGUCAGCACGAUUAGCCAGUGGAAAAGCACCCCAUGCAUUUCAGAGUGCAGGUCGACUUUCUACUCCACAAAAGCAGCUUUGUUUCUGUAUAUGUGACACCUCUUAAUUAUAAUCAAUGAUUUUUUUUUGUUGUCAACUCUGAUAAGCUUGUUUACCUAGCUUCAUUUUCCUACAACACUUUAAACAUUUCUACGGAGGGUAAAUAUCAGCAGAACUUUGCGAUAGGCCUUGAACUAGGUCUGUGGUAUUGCAUAGUGUUUACAAUUUGUCAUCCUUGGGGGUAAUUUUGCAAGCUUAAAUACAGUAAAGGACAUAUUAUAAAGAACCAGGCAAUUUCAAUUUGUUUGAAUAUAAAAAAAUGGAUCAAAUGUGUCUAUAGAGGCACAUUGUCAUUUUUUCCUUGAGCAUGUGCCAGGUCAAGACCAAAAGCAAGCAUUCAGAGAACAGAAGAGUAUUUAUGAACACAUUGUGUGUAUCAAAUAAGCUACUUAAUGAACAGAUGGGGAAUAUUCUUUUUCAGAGUCCUAGUAAAAUAGACCUUCAUACCAGAUUUCUGUGCGCAAUGGUAGACCUCUGGGUGAUUCAUUUAACAACCUUGCCCUUGAUAGUGAGCAGCUCGCCCUUCAGGAUGAGUGCCUAUGAGACAUGAAGACAGGGAAUUGUGGGCCCCGAACAUGUCAUUUUUAGAGAAGGUGGAAAAAAGUGACUAAUCCACUUGAGAUAAGGAAAGUUUUCCCAUAAGUAGUGACUCUAUGGCAAUGGAAUCCUUGGAGAGUCAAUAAGAAAAAAAUGAUUAAGCUAAGAAAGAUUUAGUAAAUUGAAAAUCAAGCCCUGGGAGCCAGCACUGAUAAGGAAAAAGGAAAUGGUCUUGAACAGAACUACUGUGUUGAAAGCAGGGUUGCCACUCAAGAGAAAGCUGAAAGAUCGUGGCAGAAACAUUUCUUCUCUUCAGAGAGAGGAGAAAAUGUUUCAGGUCAGAAAUAAAAGGAGACAAUGCUAGUUUCCUGGGCAGACAUCACAUUCUGCACUCAAUACCUAAAGGUCCUCAUUGGUACACAGGAAGACCACAUUCCCCAGCUUCCAUGUAGAAAGUUGGGGUCAUAUGACAGUUCUGUUCAACAUCAUUGGAGAAGACGUGGUAUGUGUGAUUUCUGGACCUAGUGGACCUGGUUCUUCAAAUUUUCUCAAGAAUCUUUUUUUUCCAACCUUGGCUCAGAUUGCCAAAUUCCAACUGUGUAAGAAUUGAACAAGAAAUAAACCUUUACUAUCAAAGCCAUAAUAUAGCCCCAAUGAUUAUUCCACCUUAUAGUUCUCUUUUCUUUAGAAACAAGAAUAAGCUUGGUAGAUCAAGCUGGUCUCAAGCUCACAAUCUCACUACCUCAGCUUCCAAGCUCAGCUGAGACUAUAGACAUGAACCACUACAUUAAGCCCUUCAUCUCAUUCCUAGGCAGAGUGAUUUCAGGGACCUUAAAAAGCAAUGGAAAAUAUGUAUCAAUUUGCUUUCACAUCAGUAGAACAGAGGUUGCUUAACAAGGGUUGCUUAAGGGGAAAAAUUCAGUUUGGGAGAUUGUUAGUGGGAGCAAAGUAUUUAAGUCAAAUACGUGUUUUAUUUUUAAGAUUUUAUCCUAGAAGUUUACACAUUAGAACUAAUAAUGAAGUUCCAAGUAUCUAUCACCUAGCAUUGCGCGUGUGUGUGUGUGUGUGUGUGUGUGUGUGUGUGUGUG